GCCCGGUUAGCUCAAUCGGUAGAGGUUAGUAAAGUCAUUCAAUCAUCUGAUUUGAUUACUCCGUAUACUAACAUCUUUCACAGCGUGAGACUCUUAAUCUCAAGGUUGCGGGUUCGACCCCCGCAUCGGGCU